GACGAACGCUGGCGGCGUGCCUAAUACAUGCAAGUAGGACGCAGUUGCGAACGGGUGAGUAACGCGUAGGUAACUACCUAUUAGAGGGGGAUAACUAUUGGAAACGAUAGCGAAUACCGCAUACUAGUAGAUGGACCUGCGUUGUAUUUGCUAGUAGGUAGGGUAAUGGCCUACCUAGGCAACGAUACAUAACCGACCUUAGAGGGUGAUCCGCCACACUGUGACUUGGACCCCGCCCCGACUCCUUCCGGAUGCCGCAGUUGGGAAUCUUCGGCCAUGGGGGGAACCCCUACCGAGCAACGCCGCGGGAGUUAAGAAGGUUUUCGGAUCGUAAAGCUCUUUUGUUAAGGAAGCGGUACUUACCCAGAAAGCGACGGCUAACUACGUGCCAGCAGCCGCGGUAAUUC
rnacentral:rRNA from 1 species